AACGCGAAGAACCUUACCCAGGCUUGAACUGCAGACGACAUCCCACGAAAGUAGGCUUCCGCAAGAACGUCUGUAGAGGUGCUGCAUGGCUGUCGUCAGCUCGUGUCGUGAGAUGUUGGGUUAAGUCCCGCAACGAGCGCAACCCUUGUCUUCUGUUGCCAUCGGGUCAAGCCGGGCACUCUGAAGAGACUGCCGGUGACAAACCGGAGGAAGGUGGGGAUGACGUCAAGUCAGCAUGGCCUUUAUGUCUGGGGCCACACACGUGCUACAAUGGCCGGUACAAACCGCUGCGAACUCGCGAGAGGGAGCCAAUCGGAAAAAGCCGGUCUCAGUUCGGAUUGGAGUCUGCAACUCGACUCCAUGAAGUUGGAAUCGCUAGUAAUCGCAGAUCAGCACGCCGCGGUGAAUACGUUCCCGGGUCUUGUACACACGC
rnacentral:rRNA from 1 species